UACGUAGGGUGCGAGCGUUGUCCGGAAUUAUUGGGCGUAAAGAGCUUGUAGGUGGUUUGUCGCGUCUGCUGUGAAAAUCCGAGGCUCAACCUCGGACUUGCAGUGGGUACGGGCAGACUAGAGUGUGGUAGGGGAGACUGGAAUUCCUGGUGUAGCGGUGAAAUGCGCAGAUAUCAGGAGGAACACCAGUGGCGAAGGCGGUUGCCUGGAGCUUUGCUGACGCUGAGGCGCGAAAGCGUGGGGAGCGAUCCGG
rnacentral:rRNA from 1 species